rnacentral:rRNA from 1 species
UACGUAGGGGGCAAGCGUUUGUCCCGGGAAAUUAUUGGGCGUAAAGAGCGCGUAGGCGGUCCGAUAAGUCGGCUGUGAAAGUCCAGGGCUCAACCCUGGAAAGCCGGCCGAUACUGUCGGACUAGAGUCCGGAAGAGGCAAGUGGAAUUCCCGGUGUAGCGGUGAAAUGCGCAGAUAUCGGGAGGAACACCAAUGGCGAAGGCAGCUUGCUGGGACGGUACUGACGCUGAGGCGCGAAAGCGUGGGGAGCAAACAGGG